ensembl:lncRNA
UUUUUUUUUUUUCUUUUUCCUGAAAGGAUAGGGUUCAUUUAGUGUGGAAGAGAGAAAAGAUGGGGUUUUUUAGUCUUAAGGAGAGACCAUGAUGGAGGAUAUCUUUCCAAAUAGAUAAAAGGCUGAUGUAGUAAGGAAGGCAAUAAAUCUGUUCUCCAUGUUCAGGGUGGACACAAGAAGAAAUAACGGGGCUUUAAUAGCAGAGGAAAACAACCCAAAACAUCAAGCUAAGCAUUAGGAAAAUAUUCUACUGGUAAGGCUAUAGCUCUUGGAGAAUUCUGCCUGGCUGGAGAUCUCCAACUAUCUCAGUCUUUGUUUUGAGGUAAAGCACCCUCAGGAUAACAGAAAGGACUUGUUCUGCCUGAGGGCUGGAUAAUCUCUGAAGUGUCUCCAAGGCUUGGGAUUCUCUGAUGCUGAGGGCAGUUUUUUUUAAGAUUAAGCAUAUUAAUAUGGAAAGAGUCUGGUAAGAGAUUGUAGGUGCAGCAAGUAGACUCUCAAAGAAUUUCCUUUGGACAGCAGUGGCUUUGGCAGGCUGGUGUGGCUGUCCCCAGGCUUUGCACGUGCCUUGUAUGUGGUCUGCAUGUUCACAGGCACAGAUGGGGCUGGCAGAGGCAAAAUAUUUCUUUUAAUCCUUCUAAGAAAUGACAAAUUAAGAUGUGAUUAUAGAACUGUUAAAAAGAAAUUACCACAGAGGAAUUUCCAGAUGGUCAUGCAGAAUUACUAUUGAAGAGUGAACAGCAAGGUUGAGUUAUUUAUGCAAGUAGAGGUCUUUCUUCUCUUUGUUUCAGGUUGGAGAGUCCCAUUCUGUCUUUCAGUCCAUAUAAUAAUUUCUUAUUCAGUCCAGUUACAACUACCUUUCUGCCUGCUAGUUCCAUUUUAUUGUCCAGUGCUGAUAAUAUUCUUUUAAACCUAAUUCCUCAAGAAUAUAAUAUGACGGGCUCAGUUUCUUCCCUGCUGAGGAAAAUAACCUUGAGACUUUUUUGACUGGUGCAAAGCUUAUUUGACUGGGUGUAAGGGAUGCUUUGGUACUGUUCUGUGGACCAGUGUGCAAUUCUGCAUGAUAGGGUAUCAGAGCAAAUCACUGCUGAUAACCUCCUAGGUUAAUUGCUGUGCAAAGAGUGCCUUGAAUCAACACAUUAUGUUUAAUCCCAGAACACACUCUGGCUCUCUCUUUACUGUAACUCUAUGGGGCUUCCAAUUGUUAUUUAUGCAUGAUAGGUGACACUUAUUUCAAAGCUAUCUAAGUGACUUAGACACAACAGUUUAAAUGUUUUGCAGGAGCUCAUCCCUGUAGAUGAUUCUGGCAUAAUAUACAUGACAAAUAUUUCUACGUAUUCCAGCUAAUGCAUAGAUAAGUCCCUACUCCUUAUUACUGGAAGUUCUAAAGCCUUGUUUGUUCUAGCUACAUUUUUUUAAAGUCUUUUAAGUGCUGAGCAUUGCACAUGAGUCUCAGAGGUCACCAUGAGAUCCUGACAGAAAUUCUGAUCAAACUGGAGACUUCUGUAUUUGAUAGUGUCUAAAUGCUGUGUUUAUUCCAGAUGGUCCUCUGGGAGAUGAUCCCAGAGAUGGAGAAAGAUUUCAGUCAAAUCAGUGGAAAGAUUUCUUUGGCUCAGGCCCAUAGAAACUCCAGAAAUCAAAAACCUUGCACAGCACAGGACUUGUGGCUGCUGAGGAUUAGGCUGUAUUGCAGUUUUACUAAGGAAAAUUUCUCAAGGUGUUUCACAAAUUCACUGACCAGUCAUGUGACAAGAAGAACUCUGGUAGCUUGCUCAAUACUUCUUCACUAUUCACACUGCUUGUGUUCAGUCUCCUUUCUCAUUAGGUCUUGCACUUCCAAAUCCCAACAUUUUUCACAACCAACUAUUUAAGUAUUCUUGCCAAGGCACAUUGCAAGGGAAGGUGGCUUCUGUUUCUCUUUUAAUCUCUUACCCAAGAAACUGUGCCUCUGCAAUGCUCUUUAAUUUAUUACUGUAUCACUCACAGCUUCUUUUUUUGUGGUCUCACAGCUUGUCUGCAGUAUUCCAUCCAUAGUAAUCAAGGGUUUGACUGAAUUUACAUCACCUUGUAAUGCGGGUAGCAGGGUAAGAAAGGAAGGGAGACAAUGCUGCACACAUCCUGUUCAUCUCAGAAUAAUGGUCUGUGUACACAACAUGCAGAUAGUUCAGAUGUAGCAAAAAUCAAAGAAAAUGCUGGUUUUUUACAUUGCAGUCAGCUAGAAGCUAUUAUAAACAGUUCCACUAUUGGCAUCAAAAUAAAUCUUGGCUUCCAGAUAAAGCAGUAUAAGUUUUCUUUGCAAGUUCAUAGAGUAGCUCUCAAUUUACAUCUUAUAUACAGAAUCUGUGGAAGGAAUGUGUAUUAACUUUUUCAUCAAAGUUUUGAUCUUUGCUUUGUAGCCUGUGAGGCUUUCCAUCGCUUCUUUAUUGCUUUCAAGGCUGGUAGUGUGCUCAUAGUCAGGACUGCUAAAAGUUAUUUUUCCUUAAUCCUUCUCCAUCACAUGCUUGGACCUAGCGUCUAAGCCUAGCUUAUAGAUUUUGAAGUUAACCUUAUGAAAGAAACGUACUGCAAAUAUAGCAGUGGCAUCUGUAGCUUCUUUGUUUAUAAUUUUAAAUUUUAUGGGGUUUUUUGAGGGGAUUUAAAACAAAAUACAUUUGAAGUCAUAAAAUGCACAUCUGUGAAAGAAGUCAUGUGGCUCAAAAUGCAAGAGUAAACAGCUCUGACAAUGAAGUGUUCUCAACUACCCUUGCCAUGUAGAAUGACUAACCUGCUAAAAUCAUACUUGUCAGCUCACACAAAUAAGCAGAUAAGUUUCAGUAAAAUGCAGAAAUAUGCAAGAAAUGUCGCUUCAAGGCAAGCAGCAAGGGGUGGUUGAAGAUGGCAACUAGAGCAGCAGAAGGUCUGCAAAGAGGUGAGAUACAGCAACAUUCUGUAGCCAGGCUUGAUUAAUCUCUGGCAACCCCAGUCCUGAGAGCAGAUAAUGGACUCAUGGACUCAUGGAAAAUGCAGGACUUUUCUGAUAAAUUGCAACUAUUUCCAUGGAAAUGACAAGGAUUUUGCUACUUGGGCUAUUUCUGGGGAUCUGUUGUAUCAUUGUUAUAUAUUCUUUACAAGUUGCACUUGUUUGAAAGAUUGUACUGGAUGGAAAUCAUGAUUUCUAGAUAAUUUCUAGUUUGAAGAAGGUUUUUGUAGAGAACCUUUGCUGAUCCUGAUCACUUCUUGUUAUAAUACAGCUCUUUUCCUAAACUAAGAUCUUAGACUUGCUUGCACUUUAGGCCAGGGUUGAGGAUUAUCCCAUAAAGGAUAGCAUUCUUAUCUAAUAAGAAGUAAAAGAUUAGAGGGUGGCAUUCACUGGUAAAUUAGAAAUAUCCUUCAUUUGUGCUUUUUGUGCUGCAGGUACUGCAGGUUGCCUGUUGGGCUCCUUUAGCUGCUGAUAUACCACAGGACUUUGCUGUUCAGAUUCUUGUUUGGAGCCGUUUUGUGACUACUCUGACUCUCCUGUGAUGAGACUUAAUACACAUUAACCUUCUUGGGAGGGAAAAGACCACACUCAGGUAUCUGGGCUCCUUAUUACAUAAUGCCUCUAAGCUCAGCUUUACAGAGGCGGGAAUGACCAUGAAUUAGUGCUAAAUGAAACAAGGAAGAGAGGAAAGACAAGUGCUUUUUGUGUGUGGAUAUGUCUUCUGGGGAAUGACCUACAGAGAAACUGUGCAGUGAAAGGAGUAUUUGAUAAUGGCUAACACUCAGUGAGCAGUCAAAUCCAAUGAAAAUAUGCCUUAGAAAUUAGCUGUGCUGCAUGAGAGGUGCAGAAAAUUACCAAUGCAUUCCUCAAUAUAAUAAAUGCUUUUUAACAGAAUAGGCAGAACAUGAUGCUGCACAAGGACCUAUCUUUCAUAAUUUUAGCUUUAUAAUGAGACCACAGCAACCAACUUUAGUCAUGAGCAAAAAAAACGUGCUUUCUUUGAACAUAAGUGCUAGUAGUUGCAUAAUAUGAAACUUACUGAUGCAAAUAAUGGUAGCACUGGGCUGUCUGAGCACAAUGUACGCUUUAAAAUUAAUCUCUGAACAGAUCAGCAAGCACAUGCAGAUUCUCCCAUGUUGACAAGAGCAGUGCACUUCUUUAGGAGAAGCCAAAUUUCCAAAGCCUGGCAGCUGGAGUUCUCAAGCUUGUUGUUCCGUUAUUAACUCUGUAAGCCUCAGGGAAGGGGUAAUGGAUGAGAUGAUCCCAAGAGGUCCGUCCCAGACCUACUUUGUUUGGUUUCAAGGUUCCUAACCAAGCAAGCAAUAAGCACAAGUGUUCUCUGAAAUGAGCAGAGGGAAAGAGAUGUGUAUUCGUUAUUCAAGAUACUCUGUUCAGUUCAAAGCUGUGUAGUCCAUUCCAGAGUUCAGCAAAGAACAGGUACAAGGAGCCACAGCCACAAGGACACUGCUUGGAGGAACUCUGCAACCCCCAGUGAUGCUGAAUGUACUCUGAGAAAAACCACAAAACUCUUGCCUUGAAGCGACGUUUCUUGCAUAUUUGGUGAUUUCAAGUAAAAGCUCCCUUUUUUCCCCCCUCUUUUUAUGGAAAAGGAAGGGCACAUUUUUAGAAUAAAGUCUGUCCCAGUCUUUUUGCAGUCCUUUGACUACAGCAAUGCAUUUCUGUGUUUCUCCCUCUGCCUUCUUCCAACAAAUCAAGCAAGGCUUCAGUUCAAAUUUUAAAUGGAAGUCAGAUGAUUUGUAGGGAUUUUGUUAUGCAUUGUAGAACAUUUGUACUUUCACAAGCUCAGGUCAGAAUUUUCCUUGUGUCUAGAAGAAUCAGCUAUCUUUCCCCAUCAGCUUUGAGGGGCUUUCAGGCAUACAUGAAAAUAGUCUGAGUGAUUUAGAUACCUACUGAAAGUCAUUCAGACAGAGAACCUAUUGCACUUUUAAAAAUAAGACUUCCUUCAAAUGUGUUAAAAAUCCCAGCUGCGACAGCUGUGGUGAUAAGGCGUUAAGUUGAACUCUGCCAUUUUGUAAAACAGGAUAAUUUUUCUCUGUUUUCUGGCAGAUAUGCAAUCCAGUGAAACAAGUCAUUAAAAUAUUCAUUUGUAAGGAUAAACAGAAUUGACAAAUAAAGCUAUUUUUUGAAACUAGGCUGAAAAGGUAUUUUUUUCUUGAGAGGUGAUGAUAGAUUUCAAAGCUCAGUCCAUGGUACCUAUGCCUACACCACAAUUCUUCCCCCAAUUAGCUGUUUGUAAGGCAGUGCCAUCUUCCACUUGUCACAUUAUAGACUUUAUUCAAAUGAAAUACCUGAAAGAAAAACCUCCAACCUGUCCAGUACUACUGAGCAGAAUUCUAUUAUGUAAAUCUACUUCCAUAUUUUGGGAACAAAUGAUAGGCAGGACAUGAAAUGGAAAAAUAAAUUUUACGCAUACAAGUAAAAGAUCAGUCAGGCAAUGUACUGAGGUAUCAUUAGGGCUGAUGAAUCACUAUUAUCAUUAUAAAAAUAACAUAUAAUGCUUCAAACCCUGCAUCGUGGCUGACUUCUUUGCUGAUGAAUAUUUAUGCAGUUUCUUUUGUUUCUUUGUGUGUCUAACAGAUGCCAAGCUAAGUUCAAUAGACAAAUUGCAUCUCUGUGAACUGUCACAGCCUUGUCCUUGUUUUUUCUAGCAAACUGAAGUUACAUAGCAAAAUAGGAUAAAUAAACAGAGGUCAGAACCUCCAUUUCCGUACAAGAUUCAAUCAACUGAUAAAUAAUGUGGAAAAAUUCAGUUCAGAUCAAAUAAGGAAUGAAAUUUAAGUGUUCUUUAUUUGAAAUGAACUCUUGCAUAUCUGCACUCUGAGGAUCAUAAGUUACCUAAGCAAUGUGUGUGUCAUAACCUAAUUAGCCACAUAUUUAUACUAAAUUUCUCAAUAUUCCUUGUGUCUGUGCUCCUUACCUUCUGUGCAGGAUGGGAGAAUUAUUAUAAGCAUAUGGGGGUUAUUAGCAAAUAAGGCUUUUAAACAAAUUAAAAAAUUACGAGGACAAAAACAAAGGUGGCUAGGUAAUGAUGUUUGGAGACACAAAAUCUGAGGUCAACAACCUUUACAACCUUUUUCAAUUGAUAAUAAAUCAGUGCAAUUAACUCAGUGUCUUUGCAUAAUCUUAUUCCCAAACAAACUUUUAUUUUAGCACAGUAGUUUUUAUGGCAGGUGGGGUUUUUUUGGGGGGAUUUUUUUGUUGUGCCUCCAGAUGUAUAGUCCUAUUGAUUUGCUUUGCAAGCUUUCUGUAGAAGGUAGAAUCAAUGGAGCACUGUCACCCAAACAACCCUGAAGUAGAAUUUAUAGAUCUGGGGAAAUUACUUAAUUGCUGGAAUGAUGCUGGUAGCUAAGCCUGCCCACUAACACUUGUGCAACUACUGUGCAUUUUUCAAGUCCCAGGCAUCAAAUAUAUAACAGUAUAUACAAGUAACUGGAAAAUAAUGUAAAUACUUCUGGAUUGUCAUCACUUUUUUGAGGCAUUACACAGAAUUUAACUGAUGCUCACACAGAGAUACUAUCGCUGAAUUUUGUCCUUAAUUCUUCCUAGAACAGCCUUGAGUCUUUUGACAUCUAAGAUGCACUAGGUUUCCCACAGCUAAUUUUGGCUAUACGAAAGCAAAGUUUGCCAUUUAAAAAAAUACCAGGCAGAAUUAGGUAAAAGAUUUUCUCUUCUCUCAGUGCCAACCACUUCUUUCUGUCUCCAUGUGGAAAGUCUCUACUUGCAAAAGCAGCACGUGGGAUUUGAUAAUUAUUCAGAGGGCUGAAGAGAUACGUGCCUUCCAAGAAGCAAAUAGCUCAGCAUCACUUCACUAAGUGAUACAUUUGCAAAGAUCGUGGGUCUGCUUUGAUAAGUAGAAACUCACACAAAAGUUGAUUCUCCCUCAUCAGCUUGAUUGUUGCAGUGCCCACAAAUCACUGUGAUUACUUACAGCCCAACCUCUUCUCCAAAGUCUUGUAGUCCCUCUGUUCCAACUUCUUUAGGAGGAAAACUUGCUGAUAUUUAAAAAUAACAAGACUGCAACCAAGCAGUGAGCAUGUUUUGUGGGGACAGGGAGAUUCUUUCUUUGUUUUGUUUGGAAUUUUUUUUGAUCUGCUUUAUUUUGCCUAGUAAUCCAACACUCUACAUCUUUUGGUCAGCUUUGUCCAAGGAAUUUUUUAUAUCCUCACAGAAAUCAGCACCUACCAUACCCAGCUAUACAGAAGGUACUGAGCCUUACUCUGAAUGCCUCCUACUUCUGUGCUUGGCUGCUGCCGGGAUGUUUUCCAGUGAUGCCUUUGCCAAGGGAUCCAACAGUGUGUAACACCACACCAUUUACUAGCACUUCCAACUCCUGAAGACCAACAUUGGGUCUGGAAUCAGAGGAGUGUUAUUUACGAGGAAAUCUUUUUACAUACCUGCACGAUACUGUCUUUAGCCAGUGUCUCUUGAAGUGGCAAUGUAAAGUAAUUUGAUUCACUUGCUUGACCAGUUUCUAAUUGGAUAUAAUGAAGCAAUGUGAGAUUGCUGUACACACUCCCUCCAGCACCGCUCAAUUAUUCCUUGCAUUUCUGUGAUGAGAUCAGCAGGACAAUUUCAUACUUACUGGGCUCUCUGUGCAGCAGACAGUCCCACCCAGCUAAUGAGGCUUUACUGCCAUUCCAGCACCAUCACAUUUUUAUUCACUUCUCCUUAGAUUUAAACUUCAUAUUCAUAUUCCCCUCUGCAAGUACCACAUGAGUAUAUAAGCUUCUUAAUGCAAAACAAUACACGAUCUGGUGGUGUGCAUUACACAUCUAUACCUUUUGCUAAAAAUCAGCCGUGCAUUAAAUGGAUGGUAUUUCUAUUUAAAACAGCCAGCAUGGUCUGAACAGAUACACUGUGAGCUGGUUGCCUAGGCAACAAAAUUCCUUAAAUUGGAGGGGUCUGUAACAGAAGAUGUUUAUCUAGCUUUAACUUUGGGUCCUGGUUUCUAAAAAUCUUAAUUGACUCCUUUCAAAUGUAUUUUAUCUAGUGAUGAUGCUACAUUUUAAGCAACAACUAGGACAGAUUCAUCUACUGUAUCUCUGAUACAAAUUAUAGAUAUAGAGCACAUAAAAUAGAGACAAAGGUUAAAGGGUAACUUAUUUCACAGUUUGGCAAUUGUUUAGAUGGUUGAGCCUUGCCUCUUGUCUGCUAGCUUCACUGUAUAUUUGUUCAUUGACUUCAUUGAUAUAAAGCAUAAAAAAUUAUAUUUGCUGAUUUGACAACAACUGGACUAUCAGAUAUCAAACUUCUUGACCUAGUUUUUAUUAAGUUCUGUAUUUUCUUAAUGUUUUCUGUAAGUCUCCCUGCAGUGUGCUUCUCUCUCCACCUAACUCAGCACCAUGGAUAGAGGUUCCCCCUAAUCUGAAGGUAUUGUAGAGAUUUUUGUUUUGCUCAACUUUCUUUUUUUUUUUCUAAAUGGGAUGGGGUUUGCUCUCAGUGAAGUAUGACUGCAGUUUCCCUUAAUAACCCCCAUGGAUGCAGAAGUAGGGUUGCAUGUUAGCAUGGCUUGGCAGCAAUGCAAGGCUUUUAGGGCUUAGUGCUCCCAAACUGGGAGCUGUGGAUCCAUGGCAGGGCAGCUGUGCUACUCUCAGGGCUUAAAUCAGUGUCUCAGGGGUGACAUCAGACUCUGCUGUGAAGGAGGACACUGCAGGGCACAGCAGUUCCAUCAGUGUGAAGGUGGGGGUGGCCGUACAUCUGAGGGGAUGCUGCGACACCAAGUUGGGGAGGACCAUUUCAGGUAUUCCAGCAUCACUUUCCCAGGAGUUCAGCACCCAUAGCUGGAGGGAAAAUCCCAAAAUGCUUAUCUCCCAUUAGUCAUUACUUAACUGAGGAGAUAGUCUAAAAUAUUCAGUGUUAGGUAACUUCUGUUGUUCUUACAGCAUCAGAGGCUUCUGAAAAGCCAAGCAGGUCAGGGCACCAUGGGUUCAUCCUGCAGGUCUGGGGCAGCUGACAAAUUGCUUUCAGAGGAGACUGUGUGUGCAAAGUUGUUCCCACUCAGGAUCUUGGGAACCAAGUUUUCUGGCUUUUCAGGGACUUCAAAAGGAAUUAAAAUUAACAGGAGGUGAACAUUCAGAUUUCUUAAGAAGUUUUAAAAGUAAAGGCUUAAUGUUUCUGUAGGUGGUUUUUUACAAAAUGCUUGAGAGAUUUGAGAGCACAAGGCUCCCUGCAAGGCAGCAGGGCUGCACUCCUCAAUCCCUUUAGGGAGAGGAUUGUGGACUGCUUACCCAAAGACAGGUAGAAAAUAUCUCCCUAAAAAAAAAGCUGAGAAUUCUCCACCUUGUGUUUCCUUUCUGCUCACCUGGAUUAUACUGAUCUGCACUGAAAGCAAAUGUAGGACUGGGAAUCAAUCACACAUAAGUUACUUCUGCUGUCUGAAUUUAGGUGUUUUUUACUCCUUGUCUGGAGCUGUGGUUUAGGGGAAGGCAUGCACAGUUUUGUGAAUUUUAACUUUGGGAGGAAAGAAUUUGGUGUGCAUGUGGUUUGGACAGCAGAAACUUUACACAGAUUAUGAUAUUGUUUUGCCUUCUCCUCCAAUUAAAUCUCAAGUUAAUUAAAUUAAUUAAAUGCCAAAUUAAUACUCAUUUCCCCACUGUAGAUUGACAUUUCUCAGCACUUUGUUUCUAGAGCAUAUAUUCUUGCUUUUCAGCACUGUUUUCCAUAGAUGUUUUUAAAAGCCUUUGGUAAGUAUAUCUCAAAUGCAACACAUGGAAACAUCAUGUGCACUCGUGCUUGUGUAUUCAUGAAAUAGAAAUUAAACUGAUUUGAGUAAAUCUGGUAAAAACGACCUGUCAAAUGUACUAAAGUUUCAGUGCAAAAUGCAGGCAGCAAAAUAUUUUCUGCUCAGCUGAGUUUGCCUCAUCCUUUUCUUGCUGAGCACCCAUUUGCUUCCUCUCCUGAGGACAAGAUCUUUCUCAUUUUCAUUAGGCUUCUCUAAAAAUUCAGACAACGUUGCUGUUCUCUGCAGAUAGAUUUUGGCCUUUAAAAGCUCAGUCUUGCUGUAUGGUUAUGAAAGUAUUACUGAAUAUUUUUAUUCUGGUUUUUUAUUCUUAACUGUCCAUCAAUUUUUAGUAUCUGAAAAUCUCAGUGGUUUAGACAAGAGAGAGAUAUCACUUUCAGCUCAAAGGAUUUUCCAUGAUAGCAGCUUGUCACUAGGACCACUCAGUGACUCAAAAUAAGAUGCUUUGUUCCUAAGCCUUCUUUAGCAUGUAGCCCUGGACAUUUAUUGUGAUGAGUUCAGCUUAGACAGAUGUGUUUGCAGGUCCUGUCUUGUUCUUACAGUAAACAGGAGAGAUGGAAAAAUGUACAACUAAUUGCCAGUGGGGUAAUUAAUUCCCACAUACUUUGACAGAGCCUGUUAAUUAAAUUGUGAUUCUGAGGGUUGUUGAAUAAAUUCUGCUUGGAAAAGGGUAGCCACACACCAGAAGGGUAGAGACCCAUAUCAUGCAAAAUAUAAAGUUUUAAUAAUCUAUUUUAGAGCAAACUUCUGCUUUUUAAAUUACUAUUACUAUUAUUAUUUCUUUCAUGUUUGACUGAGGUUUUAAGAUGUUUCAAAGAUGAAAAUUAACAUUUGGAAAGGAUCAGGCAUUUGGAAUUGAAUGACAGAAGUAUUUGUUUAAAGAAAACAGAACAAAACAACAAGAAUAACAACAAAAACUCAAAAAGAAAACCAGCAAAAGCAACAGAAAAAAAAAAAACAACCCAACAUACCAACCUGAGAUGUCUAGAUUGUUACCAUCCUGUGCCUUGUUCCUUCCCUAGACCUUCUCUCAUAUGAGGAGUAAAAGCAAACUGAAAGGUUCUUUUUCAAAAAAAAAAAAAAAAAAA